rnacentral:pre_miRNA from 1 species
UGUUAAAAAAAUUAUCUAUUUCUAUUGUUAAAAAUUAAUGUGGCUAACAAAAUAACCAGAUAGUUAUAUUUGGCAUGCCACGUGUACUCCAUACUGACGCACAUGGAUCAAUUUUUAACAAUAAAAAUGGAUAGUUAGUUUACUU